UUCAAACUUUGUACAGAUUUUUAUACCAUGCUUUUCUAAUUAAACACAUGAAUCUUAUUAAAACUCAAUUUAAAUGCUAAACUAAAUUCAAUCAAUUUCAAUUAAUCUCCAUUAACUAUACAUUAAUCAGAAGGAGAAUUAAAAAGGAAUUAGGUUUACGUGUUUUGUGAGACUCAGGCUUGUUCUUCUCCUCUUCACGAGACCGGCGGCGCAAACUCUCUCUCCGGCGAAUUCGCCGCCGUGAGCAAACACAGCCUUCCACUCGUCUCUUCUCUCAUUGAUUUCCCCUCCGAUACCUCUCGCUCUCUCUCAAACGCGCUCUCUUAUCUCAAUCUUUUGUCACUAUCUGAUUCAAAUCCGUCUCUCUGUGUUAUUGAUGAUUUAGCCGCGAUGUUGUUAUUGCUAUUUGAUGAAAUUUGCAUUGUUGUUGUUGUUGAAUGUUGUUCUUGCAGGCGAAUAAUGAUGUGAUGUUGAAGGUUGCGAUGCGUGGCGGUGGCGAUGGCGAAGGUGGAUGCAAUGCGUGCCGAUGGCGAAGGUGGAUGCGAUGAACGAAGUUUGUUCGUGAAGAUUACACAGAGAACGAUGAUUCUCCGUGAGAUGAUGAAGAUGAUGAUCGAUGAUGAUGAUGAUGAUGAAGAGUUUGAAGAUUAUCAGCGUUACUCGAGUAUUCCCGGUUGAGAGGUUAUGAAGGUGAUGACGACGAUGAAGCGUCGAUGAUGAACAUUACAAUUCGGUUAUCAUGAAUAUUUUCCGGAAUUUGUAUCAAGUGAUGAACGAAGCAAGAGAGAUUGAAGAUUGUUGGAGAAGGUUGAAGAGUGAGAUAUUGAUGGAAGAUUUGAGAAGUGAGAUCGAAGAUUGUUCAAUUGAGAGGUUGAAGAUUGGGCGAAGGUUGUGGAUCCGAAGGAGUCUUUCCGUUACAUUUUUCUGUGAGUGUUCGGUGAUUGUUAUGAAUGGAGGAGGAAGAUUGAAGAUGAUGGAGAUUGUGAAUUGAGAAGAAGAGUUUGUUACCAAUCUCUCUUUUCUGUUAUCAUUUUUCUUUUGCUGAUUUUUUGUUAUGAAUUUGUUGUGAACUCCUGGAAUUCCGUUAGAAAUCACAUGCUAUCGGAUCAAUUUUUGUUCUGCAGGGAGUUGGCUCCGCCUUAUCUUAGAUGCUGGAUGCAGGGCCGCAUCUUAAACUGAUUUAGCCGAGUUAUCGUUAUGGUUUGUUGGUGAAGUGCAAGCUAUGGCGUGAAUUAGUGCAAGUCGGUCCCUUUGGAAUGGAGUAACGCCUCUCAAACUUCAGCAUAACAGGGACUUGUUCUUUCACUCCUUUGGAUAAUUUUUGUAACAUUUUUAAUACAUUUUUGUAAUUGGAUUUUGAAUGUAACUUGAUUUUUUGUAAAGGAUUUGUAUUGUGAUUGUAAUGGAUUGAACUUUAGAAUGGUGUAAUGUAUUGGACUUUUGAAUUUUGAA